AUUGAACGCUGGCGGCAGGCCUAACACAUGCAAGUCGAGCGGAUGAAGGGAGCUUGCUCCUGGAUUCGGCGGCGGACGGGUGAGUAAUGCCUAGGAAUCUGCCUGGUUGUUGUGGGUAACGUCCGGAAACGGGCGCUAAUACCGCAUACGUCCUGAGGGAGUAAGUGGGGGAUCUUCGGACCUUACGCUAUCAGAUGAGCCUAGGUCGGAUUAGCUAGUUGGUGGGGUAAAGGCCUACCAAGGCGACGAUCCGUAACUGGUCUGAGAGGAUGAUCAGUCACACUGGAACUGAGACACGGUCCAGACUCCUACGGGAGGCAGCAGUGGGGAAUAUUGGACAAUGGGCGAAAGCCUGAUCCAGCCAUGCCGCGUGUGUGAAGAAGGUCUUCGGAUUGUAAAGCACUUUAAGUUGGGAGGAAGGGCAGUAAGUUAAUACCUUGCUGUUUUGACGUUACCAACAGAAUAAGCACCGGCUAACUUCGUG
rnacentral:rRNA from 1 species